CCUACGGGAGGCAGCAGUGAGGAAUAUUGGUCAAUGGACGAGAGUCUGAACCAGCCAAGUAGCGUGAAGGAUGACUGCCCUAUGGGUUGUAAACUUCUUUUAUAUGGGAAUAAAAUGUUUCACGUGUGGGAUUUUGUAUGUACCAUAUGAAUAAGGAUCGGCUAACUCCGUGCCAGCAGCCGCGGUAAUACGGAGGAUCCGAGCGUUAUCCGGAUUUAGUGGGUUUAAAGGGAGCGUAGGUGGAUUGUUAAGUCAGCUGUGAAAGUUUGCGGCUCAACCGUAAAAUUGCAGUUGAAACUGGCAGCCUUGAGUACAGUAGAGGUAGGCGGAAUGCGUGGUGUAGCGGUGAAAUGCUUAGAUAUCACGAAGAACUCCGAUUGCGAAGGCAGCUCACUGGACUGCAACUGACACUGAGGCUCGAAAGUGUGGGUAUCAAACAGGAUUAGAUACCCGAGUAGUC
rnacentral:rRNA from 1 species